rnacentral:tRNA from 1 species
CACGGCGGUGGCCUGGGACACGCCGACGCCGGCCUUCGCGCCGUCGGACGCAGGCGCCCUUCGCGCGGAAACGCGGGUUCCAGAUCCCGUCGUCAUGCCC